rnacentral:tRNA from 1 species
GGCUCGUUGGUCUAGGGGUAUGAUUCUCGCUUUGGGUGCGAAAGGUCCCGGGUUCAAAUCCCGGACGAGCCC